AGAGUUUGAUCCUGGCUCAGGACGAACGCUGGCGGCGUGCUUAACACAUGCAAGUCGAACGAUGAAGCUGGAGCUUGCUCCGGUGGAUUAGUGGCGAACGGGUGAGUAACACGUGAGUAACCUGCCCUUGACUCUGGGAUAAGCGUUGGAAACGACGUCUAAUACCGGAUACGAACUUCAGUCGCAUGACUAGGAGUUGGAAAGAAUUUCGGUCAAGGAUGGACUCGCGGCCUAUCAGCUAGUUGGUGAGGUAAUGGCCCACCAAGGCGACGACGGGUAGCCGGCCUGAGAGGGUGACCGGCCACACUGGGACUGAGACGCGGCCCAGACUCCUACGGGAGGCAGCAGUGGGGAAUAUUGCACAAUGGGCGAAAGCCUGAUGCAGCAACGCCGCGUGAGGGACGACGGCCUUCGGGUUGUAAACCUCUUUUAGUAGGGAAGAAGCGAAAGUGACGGUACCUGCAGAAAAAGCACCGGCUAACUACGUGCCAGCAGCCGCGGUAAUACGUAGGGUGCAAGCGUUGUCCGGAAUUAUUGGGCGUAAAGAGCUCGUAGGCGGUUUGUCGCGUCUGCUGUGAAAACCCGAGGCUCAACCUCGGGCCUGCAGUGGGUACGGGCAGACUAGAGUGCGGUAGGGGAGAUUGGAAUUCCUGGUGUAGCGGUGGAAUGCGCAGAUAUCAGGAGGAACACCGAUGGCGAAGGCAGACCUCUGGGCCGUAACUGACGCUGAGGAGCGAAAGCAUGGGGAGCGAACAGGAUUAGAUACCCUAGUAGUCC
rnacentral:rRNA from 1 species